GACGGAGGAUGCAAGUGUUAUCCGGAAUCACUGGGCGUAAAGCGUCUGUAGGUGGUUCGAAAAGUCCACUGUUAAAAAUUGAGGCUUAACUUCAAAGAUGCCGUGGAAACUUUCAAACUAGAGUAUGGUAGGGGUAGAGGGAAUUUCCAGUGGAGCGGUGAAAUGCGUAGAUAUUGGAAAGACCAUCGAUGGCGAAGGCACUCUACUGGGCCACUACUGACACUGAGAGACGAAAGCUAGGGGAGCAAAUGGG
rnacentral:rRNA from 1 species